GUUAUAUGGUCAAGUGAAGAAGCGCAUACGGUGGAUGCCUUGGCAGUCAGAGGCGAUGAAAGACGUGGUAGCCUGCGAAAAGCUUCGGGGAGUCGGCAAACAGACUUUGAUCCGGAGAUGUCUGAAUGGGGGAACCCAGCCAUCAUAAGAUGGUUAUCUUGUACUGAAUACAUAGGUGCAAGAGGCGAACCAGGGGAACUGAAACAUCUAAGUACCCUGAGGAAAAGAAAUCAACCGAGAUUCCCUUAGUAGUGGCGAGCGAACGGGGACUAGCCCUUAAGUGGCUUUGAGAUUAGCGGAACGCUCUGGAAAGUGCGGCCAUAGUGGGUGAUAGCCCUGUACGCGAAAAUCUCUUAGUCAUGAAAUCGAGUAGGACGGGGCACGAGAAACCUUGUCUGAAUAUGGGGGGACCAUCCUCCAAGGCUAAAUACUACUGACUGACCGAUAGUGAACUAGUACCGUGAGGGAAAGGCGAAAAGAACCCCGGAGAGGGGAGUGAAAUAGAUCCUGAAACCGUAUGCGUACAAGCAGUGGGAGCCCACUUUGUUGGGUGACUGCGUACCUUUUGUAUAAUGGGUCAGCGACUUAUUUUCAGUGGCGAGCUUAACCGAAUAGGGGAGGCGUAGCGAAAGCGAGUCUUAAUAGGGCGUCUAGUCGCUGGGAAUAGACCCGAAACCGGGCGAUCUAUCCAUGGGCAGGUUGAAGGUUAGGUAACACUGACUGGAGGACCGAACCGACUACCGUUGAAAAGUUAGCGGAUGACCUGUGGAUCGGAGUGAAAGGCUAAUCAAGCUCGGAGAUAGCUGGUUCUCCUCGAAAGCUAUUUAGGUAGCGCCUCAUGUAUCACUGUAGGGGGUAGAGCACUGUUUCGGCUAGGGGGUCAUCCCGACUUACCAAACCGAUGCAAACUCCGAAUACCUACAAGUGCCGAGCAUGGGAGACACACGGCGGGUGCUAACGUCCGUCGUGAAAAGGGAAACAACCCAGACCGUCAGCUAAGGUCCCAAAGUCAUGGUUAAGUGGGAAACGAUGUGGGAAGGCUUAGACAGCUAGGAGGUUGGCUUAGAAGCAGCCACCCUUUAAAGAAAGCGUAAUAGCUCACUAGUCGAGUCGGCCUGCGCGGAAGAUGUAACGGGGCUCAAACCAUGCACCGAAGCUACGGGUAUCACUUAGGUGAUGCGGUAGAGGAGCGUUCUGUAAGCCUGUGAAGGUGAGUUGAGAAGCUUGCUGGAGGUAUCAGAAGUGCGAAUGCUGACAUGAGUAACGACAAUGGGUGUGAAAAACACCCACGCCGAAAGACCAAGGUUUCCUGCGCAACGUUAAUCGACGCAGGGUUAGUCGGUCCCUAAGGCGAGGCUGAAAAGCGUAGUCGAUGGAAAACAGGUUAAUAUUCCUGUACUUCUGGUUAUUGCGAUGGAGGGACGGAGAAGGCUAGGCCAGCUUGGCGUUGGUUGUCCAAGUUUAAGGUGGUAGGCUGAGAUCUUAGGUAAAUCCGGGAUCUUAAGGCCGAGAGCUGAUGACGAGUGUUCUUUUAGAACACGAAGUGGUUGAUGCCAUGCUUCCAAGAAAAGCUUCUAAGCUUCAGGUAACCAGGAACCGUACCCCAAACCGACACAGGUGGUUGGGUAGAGAAUACCAAGGCGCUUGAGAGAACUCGGGUGAAGGAACUAGGCAAAAUGGCACCGUAACUUCGGGAGAAGGUGCGCCGGUGAGGGUGAAGGACUUGCUCCGUAAGCUCAUGCCGGUCGAAGAUACCAGGCCGCUGCGACUGUUUAUUAAAAACACAGCACUCUGCAAACACGAAAGUGGACGUAUAGGGUGUGACGCCUGCCCGGUGCCGGAAGGUUAAUUGAUGGGGUUAGCUAACGCGAAGCUCUUGAUCGAAGCCCCGGUAAACGGCGGCCGUAACUAUAACGGUCCUAAGGUAGCGAAAUUCCUUGUCGGGUAAGUUCCGACCUGCACGAAUGGCGUAACGAUGGCGGCGCUGUCUCCACCCGAGACUCAGUGAAAUUGAAAUCGCUGUGAAGAUGCAGUGUAUCCGCGGCUAGACGGAAAGACCCCGUGAACCUUUACUAUAGCUUUGCACUGGACUUUGAAUUUGCUUGUGUAGGAUAGGUGGGAGGCUUUGAAGCGUGGACGCCAGUUCGCGUGGAGCCAUCCUUGAAAUACCACCCUGGCAACUUUGAGGUUCUAACUCAGGUCCGUUAUCCGGAUCGAGGACAGUGUAUGGUGGGUAGUUUGACUGGGGCGGUCUCCUCCUAAAGAGUAACGGAGGAGUACGAAGGUGCGCUCAGACCGGUCGGAAAUCGGUCGUAGAGUAUAAAGGCAAAAGCGCGCUUGACUGCGAGACAGACACGUCGAGCAGGUACGAAAGUAGGUCUUAGUGAUCCGGUGGUUCUGUAUGGAAGGGCCAUCGCUCAACGGAUAAAAGGUACUCCGGGGAUAACAGGCUGAUACCGCCCAAGAGUUCAUAUCGACGGCGGUGUUUGGCACCUCGAUGUCGGCUCAUCACAUCCUGGGGCUGAAGCCGGUCCCAAGGGUAUGGCUGUUCGCCAUUUAAAGUGGUACGCGAGCUGGGUUUAGAACGUCGUGAGACAGUUCGGUCCCUAUCUGCCGUGGACGUUUGAGAUUUGAGAGGGGCUGCUCCUAGUACGAGAGGACCGGAGUGGACGAACCUCUGGUGUUCCGGUUGUCACGCCAGUGGCAUUGCCGGGUAGCUAUGUUCGGAAAAGAUAACCGCUGAAAGCAUCUAAGCGGGAAACUUGCCUCAAGAUGAGAUCUCACUGGAACCUUGAGUUCCCUGAAGGGCCGUCGAAGACUACGACGUUGAUAGGCAGGGUGUGUAAGCGCUGUGAGGCGUUGAGCUAACCUGUACUAAUUGCCCGUGAGGCUUGACCAUAUAACACCCAAGCA
rnacentral:rRNA from 1 species